UAAUUUACUCCUCUAAUUAUAGUUAUCAAAUUAUAAGAUUUUAUAUUAAUAUAUCCUGACCUUUUACUUUAACCCCUUAUCCUUUUUAUAAUUUAAUUAUUUGAUCAAAUUUAAGCGAGAGUUUCAACACAUGCACAAUGAUCAUAAUUUAUAGCAUAAAACUACAACAUAAUAAGAACAUAUUGUACUAUUAUAAAGCAUACUUCUAAUUAGCUAAAUGAUAAUUCUAUAUUUAUCAAAAUAAGUCAUUAUGAAAUUUUUUUUACUUAUAUAUAUCAUUUUUAAUUAAUUUUGGGAAUUUGUAUCGAAUUUUACGAUUUGAUUCAAUUCUCAAUUCACAAUAUUGGGAUUUCAAAUUAUGAUUCAAAUCUCAGGUUGACAACUAUGGGCGUCAGUGUUUUAUUAGUUAGUAUGAUCUGUCCUGUGACUGGAACCAAGCUCUGAGAGAAUUCAGUAAUCUGUAACAAGAUAAUGAAUGUGAAUUUGGAAUCCUCAGUCUUUUUUUUUUCAUUUUGGGCGUGAAAAUUUUCCUGUGUCAUUUAAGAGAAGGUUAGACCAACAUUUUUUGGAAUUGGAGAACUUACACAUUACCAUAUAAAUGAAUUGCUGUAGAUGUUGUCAGUUUAUGAGUAACUAACAAGUUUUUAUUGUUAUUCCCAAUUUUCUUUCAAAUAUUUUCCCUUCCUGAGUGUAUUGAACCAUGAAGAUUUUGCAUAAGUCCUGUGUUUCUUCAGCUUGCCACACUGAUAGAUUGUGGUCUGGUGAAAUUGUCAAGUUGCUGACUUUUUCUUUUGUGACAACUUUAAUUGAUCUUAACAUGCCUUGCAUUUGACUAGAAGUGUUGGGAACAAAUUAUAUAACUGUAUUAAAGGAAAUUUCAUGAAUCAAAGACAUAUUUGGUGUCUUCUACCUCUGCCUCAGUCUCUUCUUGUCAUUAUGUUUUGGUUCAUUGAUUUUGAGCCAACUGUAACAAGAAAUAUAUAACAGGACAAGUAGUCUUGCCUCACUA
rnacentral:misc_RNA from 1 species